rnacentral:rRNA from 1 species
CUCUGCGCAAGGGAUCUUUUGGUUCGCUAGACGAAGCAGGGCGCAGCGGAAUGCGAAAUGUGCAGGAGUCGCAGCGAAGAUAGCACAUGCCUGAAAUCACGAGAGUGUGAGACUACUCCUUUGAAUUAAGCAUAUGAGUAAAGGGAGGAAAAGAAACUAACAAGGAUUCCUGUAGUAGCGGCGAGCGAAGAAGGAACAGCCCCGAGUGUAAUCACAAAUAUGUGAGAUGUCAUUAAUCUAUAGAACGAUGUUGAAACUUCGGCCUGAGAGGGUGAUAGCCCCGUAA